rnacentral:rRNA from 1 species
GCUCCAAUAGCGUAUAUUAAAGUUGAUGCGGUUAAAACGCUCGUAGUUGGAUCUGCGGCCUCGACGUACGGUCUCCCGAAAGGGUAGUCACUGUCGCGUCAAGCCUAAAUUCGAGUUGUCCGUAGGUGCUCUUUAUUGAGUGCUUACGGCGACUAGAACGUUUACUUUGAAAAAAUUAGAGUGCUUAAAGCAGACGAAAUAGUCUGAAUAAGGUGCAUGGAAUAAUGGAAUAGGACCUCGGUUCUAUUUUGUUGGUUUUCGGAGCCUGAGGUAAUGAUUAAGAGGAACAGACGGGGGCAUUCGUAUUUCGGCGCUAGAGGUGAAAUUCUUGGACCGCCGAAAGACGAACGACUGCGAAAGCAUUUGCCAAGAAUGUUUUCAUUAAUCAAGAACGAAAGUUAGAGGUUCGAAGGCGAUCAGAUACCGCCCUAGUUUUAACCGUAAACGAUGACAACCAGCGAUUAAUCGGCGUUAAUAUACGACCCGAUUAGCAGCUUCCGGGAAACCAAAGUUUUUCGUUUCCGGGGGAAGUAUGGUUGCAAAGCUGAAACUUAAAGGAAUUGACGGAAGGGCACCACCAGGAGUGGAGCCUGCGGCUUAAUUUGACCCAACACGGGAAAACUCACCCGGCCCGGACACUGUAGGGAUUGACAGACUGAGAGCUCUUUCUUAAUUCAGUGGGUGGUGGUGCAUGGCCGUUCUUAGUUGGUGGAGCGAUUUGUCUGGUUAAUUCCGAUAACGAACGAGACUCUGGCCUAUUAAAUAGACGAGGUAUUUAAAAGUAUCUCGCGCUUCUUAGAGGGACAAGCGGCGUCUAGUCGCGUGAAAAAGAGCAAUAACAGGUCUGUGAUGCCCUUAGAUGUCCGGGGCCGCACGCGCGCUACACUGAAAGAAUCAGCGUGCUAUUAACCUAGUCCGGAAGGAUUGGGUAACCCGAGUAAAUUCUUUCGUGCUUGGGAUAGGGAAUUGCAAUUAUUUCCCUUAAACGAGGAAUUCCCAGUAAAUGCGGGUCAUAAGCUCGCGUUGAUUACGUCCCUGCCCUUUGUACACACCGCCCGUCGCUACUACCGAUUGGAUGACUUAGUGAGGUCUUAGGACCGAGGUAGAGGUGCUUUAACGAGUGCUUCUGCUUUGGAAAUUUGAUCAAACUACGUUAUCUAGAGGAAGUAAAAGUCGUAACAAGGUUUCCGUAGGUGAACCUGCGGAAG